rnacentral:tRNA from 1 species
CAAAGGAUAGUUUAAUAUAAAAUUCCGGUUUUGGGGACCGGGGAGAAGGGUGGAAGCCUUUCUUUUCA